GUGGCUGGCCAGCACUGUAGUCAGUUGUUGACCCCAGCAUGUUACCCUGUGCAAGUCAAGGAGAGGUGGGAGGUUGUGUCCAUGAGUGCUGAAGGGGAAAUUACAGGAAUGCAGUCUGCAGUCCAACUAACCAACAGCGGGCAGCUGUGAAUGGGGAAUUCAAGACUCUAGCUCGGCCCCACAAGGCUAAGUGCUUCAGCUGGUCUUCUGUCUACGCUGGAAUCCUGAAGAAGCAGGUUCCAACAGACAUGCUGUCAAGUAAAUGCAAGCAGGCGGAGAAGAGUGAGCCUUCCUUCUUCCAGUGUCCUAAAGUCCUCCAGCAGAAGGUGUGGCCCAGAGUAAAGGUGUGCACCACCACCCUACACCUAAGCUGUUCUUUCUGUGGAGCUUGUUCUGUCCAAGGCUGGCCCUGAACUCAGCACUCAGCUUCUGUCUCCUGGGAUUAAAGCCUCAAGAUCUGGAUCAUGGGGCUGGAGAGAUGG
rnacentral:sRNA from 1 species